AGCAGUGAGGAAUAUUGGUCAAUGGGCGCGAGCCUGAACCAGCCAAGUCGCGUGAGGGAUGACGGUCCUACGGAUUGUAAACCUCUUUUGCCGGGGAGCAAGCGUGCGUUCGUGAACGCGCGUCGAGAGUACCCGGAGAAAAAGCAUCGGCUAACUCCGCGCCAGCAGCCGCGGUAAUACGGAGGAUGCGAGCGUUAUCCGGAUUUAUUGGGUUUAAAGGGUGCGUAGGCGGGAUGCCAAGUCAGCGGUAAAAAUGCGGUGCUCAACGCCGUCGAGCCGUUGAAACUGGCGUUCUUGAGUGGGCGAGAAGUAUGCGGAAUGCGUGGUGUAGCGGUGAAAUGCAUAGAUAUCACGCAGAACUCCGAUUGCGAAGGCAGCAUACCGGCGCCCUACUGACGCUGAGGCACGAAAGCGUGGGUAUCGAACAGGAUUAGAUACCCUGGUAGUCCACGCAGUAAACGAUGAAUGCUAACUGUCCGGCUCGAAUGAGCGCUGG
rnacentral:rRNA from 1 species